rnacentral:rRNA from 1 species
AUUGAACGCUGGCGGCAGGCCUAACACAUGCAAGUCGAGCGGAUGAAGGGAGCUUGCUCCUGGAUUCAGCGGCGGACGGGUGUGUAAUUCCUAUGAAUCUGCCUGGUAGUGUGGGAUAACGUCCGGAAACGGGCGCUAAUACCUCAUACGUCCUGAGGUAGAAAGUGGGGGAUCUUCGGACCUCACGCUAUCAUAUGAGCCUAGGUCGGAUUAGCUAGUUGGUGGGGUAAAGGCCUACCAAGGCGACGAUCCGUAACUGGUCUGAGAGGAUGAUCAGUCACACUGGAACUGAGACACGGUCCAGAGUCCUACGGGAGGCAGCAGUGGGGAAUAUUGGACAAUGGGCGAAAGCAUGAUCCAGCAAUGCCGAGUGUGUGAAGAAGGUCUUCGGAUUGUAAAGCACUUUAAGUUGGGAGGAAGGGAAGUAAGUUAAUACCUUGCUGUUUUGACGUUACCAACAGAAUAAGCACCGGCUAACUUCGUG